GAUGAAGAACGCAGCGAAAUGCGAUAACUAAUGUGAAUUGCAGAAUUCCGUGAAUCAUCGAGUCUUUGAACGCACAUUGCGCCCCCUGGUAUUCCGGGGGGCAUGCCUGUCCGAGCGUCAUUGCUGCCCUCAAGCACGGCUUGUGUGUUGGGCCUCCGUCCUCCUCCCGGGGGACGGGCCCGAAAGGCAGCGGCGGCACCGCGUCCGGUCCUCGAGCGUAUGGGGCUUCGUCACCCGCUCUUGUAGGCCCGGCCGGCGCUUGCCGACACAUCAAUCUUUUUUCCAGGUUGACCUCGGAUCAGGUAGGGAUACCCGCUGAACUUAAGCAUAUCAAUAAGCGGAGGA
rnacentral:misc_RNA from 1 species